rnacentral:SRP_RNA from 1 species
GCCGGGCGUGGUGGCCCGUGCCUGUAAUCCCAGCUACUUGGGAGGCUGAGGCAGGAGAAUCGCUUGAACCCAGGAGGCGAAGGCUGUAGUGAGCCAAGAUCAUGCCACUACACUCCAGCCUGGGUGACAAAGUGGGACUCUUUCUCAA